GGAGUCGGCCGGGUAAUCGCUGUAUCUGCCUGCAGAUAUGGAGGAAAGUCCGGGCUCCUGCGGACGAGGUGCCAGGUAACGCCUGGGGGGCGCGAGCCCACGGAAAGUGCAACAGAAAGCAAACCGCCCCUUCGGGGGUAAGGGUGAAAGGGUGCGGUAAGAGCGCACCGCGCCGGUGGUAACACUCGGCGGCACGGCAAACCCCACCUGGAGCAAGGCCAAAUAGGGAAGCAGCGGGUUACACCGCAGCGCAUGUCCGCGCGCGCUUCCGGGUAGGCCGCUCGAGGUCUCCGGUGACGGGGAUCCCAGAGGAAUGAUUGCCCUCGACAGAACCCGGCUUACAGGCCGACUCCUUCU
rnacentral:RNase_P_RNA from 1 species